rnacentral:rRNA from 1 species
CCUACGGGUGGCAGCAGUGAGGAAUAUUGGUCAAUGGACGAGAGUCUGAACCAGCCAAGUAGCGUGAAGGAUGACUGUCCUAUGGGUUGUAAACUUCUUUUAUAUGGGAAUAAAAUGUUCCACGUGUGGGUUUUUGUAUGUACCAUAUGAAUAAGUAUCGGCUAACUCCGUGCCAGCAGCCGCGGUAAUACGGAGGAUCCGAGCGUUAUCCGGAUUUAUUGGGUUUAAAGGGAGCGUAGGUGGAUUGUUAAGUCAGUUGUGAAAGUUUGCGGCUCAACCGUAAAAUUGCAGUUGAAACUGGCAGUCUUGAGUACAGUAGAGGUGGGCGGAAUGCGUGGUGUAGCGGUGAAAUGCUUAGAUAUCGCGAAGAACUCCGAUUGCGAAGGCAGCUCACUGGACUGCAACUGACACUGAGGCUCGAAAGUGUGGGUAUCAAACAGGAUUAGAUACCCUUGUAGUC